AUACGGAGGGUGCAAGCGUUACUCGGAAUUACUGGGCGUAAAGGACGCGUAGGCGGUUUAGAAAGUCAGAUGUGAAAGCCUAUGGCUUAACUAUAGAACUGCAUCUGAAACUCCUAGACUAGAGUGAGGGAGAGGUCAGUGGAAUUAGUGGUGUAGGGGUAAAAUCCGUAGAGAUCACUAGGAAUACUCAUAGCGAAGGCGACUGACUGGAACUUUACUGACGCUGAGGCGUGAAAGCGUGGGGAGCAAACAGGAUUAGAAACCCCUGUAGUCC
rnacentral:rRNA from 1 species